rnacentral:rRNA from 1 species
CCUACGGGUGGCAGCAGUGAGGAAUAUUGGUCAAUGGGCGAGAGGCUGAACCAGCCAAGUCGCGUGAGGGAAGACGGCCCUAAGGAUUGUAAACCUCUUUUGUCGGGGAGCAAAGGACGCGCCGCGUGCCGUUUCGAGCGUACCCGAAGAAAAAGCAUCGGCUAACUCCGUGCCAGCAGCCGCGGUAAUACGGGGGAUGCGAGCGUUAUCCGGAUUUAUUGGGAUUAAAGGGUGCGUAGGCGGAAGAUCAAGUCAGCGGUAAAAGUUAGGGGCUAAACCUCGUCGUGCCUUUGAAACUGGUGUUCUUGAGUGAGUGAGAAGUAUGCGGAAUGCGGGGUGUAGCGGUGAAAUGCAUAGAUAUCACGCAGAACUCCGAUUGCGAAGGCAGCAUACCGGCGCUCAACUGACGCUGAUGCACGAAAGUGUGGGUAUCGAACAGGAUUAGAUACCCUUGUAGUC